rnacentral:ncRNA from 1 species
AAGCGGUAAAGUAAGAUGUUGUGCCAGAAAGCAGUGUCUUAUGAGCUUUAUAAGGGUUUAACACAAUCUGGCUAGAGGUUAGUCUUCGAAAGAAAAUGUAAGAA